rnacentral:lncRNA from 1 species
CUGGUAUAUAUAAAUGUUGUCUAUGUAUGAUUUUUUGGAAAUAUUGUUGUCAUGGUUACCAUUCAGCUGUCUUUAUGCUUUAAUAUGCCCUAUCUUCUAAGGUUGAGGUUCAAUUCAAGUUCAUAGCAAGCAAGUCAACUGACGUUUUCAUUUGUGAGCUCUAAUAUAAUGUGCAUCAUUUGCUGAGAGGAAACUUGAAAAACUUGUGGCAUGAUUCUAUGAGAUGUCAAGCACCUUCAGAUGCAGCAGAAGCCAGUGCCCUGUAUGGCGUGUCUGAGUCAUGAAUAGUGUGCCAGUAACAUGCAGUGCACAGAAGUGGAGCUUGCUUCUAAGGACCAGAAAUGUUGUGUAUUGCUAGUUCUCGACUCGUUCCUGUUGUCACAAAGGAAGAUACAAACAAGUUAACGUCACACACUGCAUACCUCACGUCAGAUCU